AUUGAACGCUGGCGGCAGGCCUAACACAUGCAAGUCGAACGAGUGGCGGACGGGUGAGUAAUGUCUGGGAAACUGCCUGAUGGAGGGGGAUAACUACUGGAAACGGUAGCUAAUACCGCAUACCAUCGGAUGUGCCCAGAUGGGAUUAGCUAGUAGGUGGGGUAACGGCUCACCUAGGCGACGAUCCCUAGAUGGUCUGAGGGGAUGACCAGCCACACUGGAACUGAGACACGGUCCAGACUCCUACGAUAGGCAGCAGAGGGGAAUAGUGCGCAAUGGGCGCAAGCCUGAUGCAGCCAUGCCGCGUGUAUGAAGAAGGCCUUCGGGUUGUAAAGUACGUUCAGCGGGGAGGCGUUACCCGCAGAAGAAGCACCGGCUAACUACGUGCCAGCAGCCGCGGUAAUUC
rnacentral:rRNA from 1 species